GGUUGAUCCUGCCAGUAGUCAUAUGCUUGUCUCAAAGAUUAAGCCAUGCAUGUCUAAGUAUAAACAAUCUAUACUGUGAAACUGCGAAUGGCUCAUUAAAUCAGUUAUAGUUUACUUGAUAAUCUCUUUUACUACAUGGAUAACCGUGGUAAUUCUAGAGCUAAUACAUGCACAAAUGUUCGACUCACGAAGAACAGUACUAAUUAGAUUAAAAACCAUCCCGGGUCAUUCCGGUUCACUGGUGAUUCAUAAUUAUUUUUCGGAUCGUACGCUUCGGCAAACGACGUUUCAUU
rnacentral:rRNA from 1 species